rnacentral:rRNA from 1 species
AACGAACGCUGGCGGAAGGCUUAACACAUGCAAGUCGAGGGCCCCGCAAGGGGAGCGGCAGACGGGUGAGUAACGCGUGGGAAUCUACCCAUCUCUACGGAAUAACGCAUGGAAACGUGUGCUAAUACCGUAUACGUACUUCGGGAGAAAGAUUUAUCGGAGAUGGAUGAGACCGCGUUGGAUUAGCAAGUUGGUGGGGUAAAGGCCCACCACGGCGACGAUACAUAGCUGGUCUGAGAGGAUGAGCAGCCACACUGGGACUGAGACACGGCCCAGACUCCUACGGGAGGCAGCAGUGGGGAAUAUUGGACAAUGGGCGCAAGCCUGAUCCAGCCAGGCCGCGUGAGUGGUGAAGGCCUAGGGUUGUAAAGCUCUUUCACCGGUGAAGAUAAUGACGGUAACCGGAGAAGAAGCCCCGGCUAACUUCGUGCCAGCAGCCGCAGUAACAC